CUUAGAUCUCACUUAAGGGCUGACUGCCACUAAAGAACAGAUCUUCUAGAGGUUCUUCCUUAGUGGAGCUUUCCUCUGUAAACUUGGAAUCUUCUGAUACAGCAGGAAUUCUGGAGCAGCCAUCUGCACUGCUGAUUUCUGCCAGGACAUCCUGCUUCACUUUUUUGUGUCCUACAACAAUUUAUGCCCUCAGCAACCUGCACUGUGGCCACCGGGGUUCCCUCAUUGCCAGCUGAGAAAUCUGAAAGCAUGCAUUGCUUCAUUUUGCCCCAUUUCUUCAGGGAAAGUUGAGGCUCCCAAGCAGAAUCAGACAGAACUCUGAACUGUCUCUGCUGUUCUGGCAGUGGUGAAGAGUGAUGCAGUUUGGGUCACCAAGUCCUCCAUCUGUGGGCAGGCUGUGACCUCAGAAACCUGCUUCUUCAUCUGAUGGCUGUGAGGAAAAUGCUGCUUCUGGGGAAGAGUUGCUUUGGGAAUGACCAGGCCGGGGAGCUGGAUGUGCGUGCAUUGCACCAGGCUGAAAUAAGGAAAUGCUUUUUAGAACAAGCAGUUCAGGUGACAUGCAAGCAGCACAGCGAGCAGCGAUGCCUAAAGCAAAACAAACCAAAGAGAAAAUCUGGGAAGGCUCAGCAACACAGAAUUGCUGUUUCCAGGAAUGUUGUGCUGGGAGAGUGGGCCAUGCAGCUGUUUGCUUUGCUGCAGAUGGAUGAGUUCACAGGAUCCCAACUCACUUCUAAGUUUAUCAGGGAAAUGCCUGCAAACUUGCCAGACCCCUGUUCCCCCUCCUCAUUCAACCUUCUUUCGCAGUAAUUGGAGGUUAUUGAGCUUCCUGAUUCCCCUGUCAUUUUGAUGUCCUCUAAAAGGUGUCAUGCAUACGCACUUCUUGUGCUGAAGAAUCCAUGACUGUUGACUUAUAAUCUUUGUAACUUAAUGGAUGAAGCAGGAGGGGCUGUGCUGUGCUGUUCAGCUCCAGGACGGGCUGAAGCAGAGCAGUGUUGGUGUGCUCACACCUGAGCCGGGCACUGAGCUCAUUGCUCUCCUGUAGUGCCUUCUGUUACACAAAUGCAUUCACCCAACGCUUGAGAGAUCAGAGUACUUUCACUCACACCCAUGUGUGGAUGUACUGAUGGGAGGGCAGUUGAGUUCACCUCAUGUUUCCAGAUGUGAAAGAAGUUUGGGUACACUGAAAAACAUUGGUCUCUUCUGUUGCCCAUUUGAUUUGAUGCCGAAAGUAAAAUAAACAAUGGAAAACACCUCUGGAGACUUGAAGAAGACGAAGAAGAAGAAGAAGAAAUGAAAAAGUGGUUGGUUCAUGGAAGGCAACUUAGAAAAGAUGUUUUGGGAAGGGUGAUGAGCAGUGCAUGGAGAAGGAGAGCUGAUCAGGAGCAGGAACAAGAUCCAGAAGGCAUAGCAUCCAUGAGAGACAUGCAGAGAAAUGAUUGCUUAGCCUCUAAAUAAGUGGAAGGACGCUGAGGUCAUGACUGGUCCUGCAGCAAAAAGCCCUGGCUCUGCUCGGAGCUGCCAAGGGGGGCAGAGUCCCUGCCCUUCCUCUGCUGCUCAGGUGAAGAACCUGGAGGAGCCGACCCAGCUCAGCACGGAGCUCAUGGUGUGGUGCUGGCAGCUGCACGGUGUGGUUGUGAUCCCUGCAGCCUCAGAAAGGAGAAAAAUUGCCCUGGCAACAGGCAUGUGCUCUGAACCAUGCUGUGCCUCUGUAAUGGCACGUCUUCACUUUUUACUCCCAUCUGAAUACAAGGAAAGGCCUUGGAAAGAAUUAUUUUGGUUUAGAGCUCAUUAGUAUGGUUACACAACUAAAAGUACAUGAUGGCGAAAUAUUUUAUGGUGUGAGAGAGGCAGACUGGCACAGGAAGGCAGAGAGCCUCGUCGGCAGCAGGUGUGCCCAGCAGCUGGAUGCUCCACACAGAGCACUGCUGGCCACCUCUGAGCAAGGGCUGCGUGUGUCCUGGGGACAUCCAGCACUUACUGCUCCAUUAAUGUGGUCUGACCCAUGAUAUAUCCAGGGGUUUUUCUUUUUUCUUUUUGUUUCUCAGACAAAGCAGCCUACCCCUCUUGCAGAUUUUGCUUGAAUUGAAGCCUAUUUCUCUUUAGCAUGUGUUUCAUUUCUGUUCACUGCUGGGACAUGUAAAGCAGCGAAUCUGCACGGGGUUAAUGCCUCAGCACACUAAGAAAAGCAGAGGCUGGCAAGGAGGAGUGGGAGAAAGUAGAUCAAGAGAGAGUGCUUUGUUCCAGUUCAAGGCUUGAAGUAUGAGACGCUGUUAUUGGAGGCUGAAAUAAUUCUGUUAAAGGGAUGGGAUCUCAUUUUGCUUCAGUUCAAGAUUUAAUAUUUCCUUGGCCAAGCUAAUAACGUGGGGAAGGCCCUCCCCACAAAUAUUGCAGGCACUUCUCUGCAGCCUCACGCACUUUUCAGAUGGCUGUGAGAGCAAAUCCAUGCUGCAAAGUGAAAAGUGAAAACUUUCCUGAAACACUGAGGAUAUUUGCACUGCAAAUCACUGAAAUCUGAACCUCAUUACCACGGACAUCAUUAACAACCAGUCACUUACACCCUUUGCACAUAAGAUAUGUCGAAUAUCAUCAGUUGAAAUAUUAAGUAAUUCCUUCAUCCUCUGAGGAGCAGAGCAGCUGUGGAUCUGCACUGGGAGUUAAGUCUUGCUUCUCCUCUGCCUGCAGUCUGUAUGGUACAUCUCCAGUUCAAUCUCCUGCAGCACCAUGUUCUCUUUCUUCACAGAGACACGCCAGAAGACUUGAUGGGGAGAAGCCCUUGGUUUCUAAGAAAGGUGUGGAGAGAAUUCAGGGACUCUCCAGGACAGCAGGAGCUGUAAUGGGAGGAGCGGGUGUGCAGUGUGCCUGGUGCCGGGCUGAGGGGCUGCAGCUGAGGGGGGCACAGGAAUUGAAUGGGCAGCGCUCAGCCCCUGAGUGAGGAAGAAACGUGGCACAGACAGGAUGAGGGCUCUUCUGUCUGUAGUUCAACAUUCACCAGGGCUGUCUCAACAGUCGUGCUCGUUUGCUUCUCUUUGCUGCGGAUGGGAGCAGCUCAGGCUUGGCAGGGCAGGGGACUUGUCAUCUCCUCCUUUUCAUACACUUCAGCGCUUUGCAGUCUUGGCAGAGCGACAUGCUGAAGGCGUUCUGCUCUUCGGUUUCCAAUUCUUAUAUUCCCAAUGGUGAUUAAACAGGAAAAUCUCCUACAAGCCUUUUCUUGUUGGAUUCUUCAGACCUAUUUCGAGAUCAAAUAGGCUUUGAGCAGGUCUGGAUAAGCUCAGGCACUUAAUCUGCUUGAAAGGAGGGACGGGGCGACGUGCUCGGCACAGUGAUGGAUCGCUGUGUGUUGAGUAGCACUCCUGUCCCCACACGGAGCUGCUGCACGGCCCUGGCACCAGCAUUCUGCAGCACGGUGCAACCUGCAUGGCAUGGCUGAACCCGAGGGCAGUGCAGGGAUGGAUGCAGACACCUCGCGUUGUCUGCUGCUAAUACUUGAGCAGGAUCGUCAUUAUUGAGGCUAAUUAGAAUUCAGUGAGAACGGGUCGUUCAUUAGAGAGAGGAAAAAAUGUGCCACGGAGCCCCGGAUUUGGUAGAACUAUUUCACAUAAUUAAACAAUUCCACAUCUUGGCAUUUUAUCCCUCUUGUUAUUGUUGAACUUUGUUAAUAAGUUUUUAAUUGCAAAUUAUCUCUAUGACACAAAUUACAGUGUUUACUGAUCAGCAAAAAUACCACGAUAACUUUAUUGGGUGCCAAGUCCUUCAGAAGCACCAGCUGCCAAGUUCUGUCUCUUACACAGUUUGGCAUUAAACUAUCUUCCGGUUAAUUAAAAUACGGCGACUUCCGGUUUGAAGUUCUAUGGGCAGCACCAGUUUCUGGCUAAAGCUCCAGUAGGGAAAGAAGGGCUUCCAUGAGGGCUUCAGUUGCACAGCACAAGUUUGCCCAUGCUUCUCUGCCAGUCUGGUUUGUGUUCUGCGUUGUGAAGGAAACGUGUGAGCAUCCAUUUUCAUUCAGGUUUGUCGUUUCUGCUGAAGUGACUAAGAAUUAUUGAAAUUAGCUGAUAUUUUGGUCAGGAGAAUAGGCUGAAGUUUUCCAAAAGUCUCAGUGAGUCUUGUCUCUGUUUCUGAGGGGGUUUAUCUUUUAGUUUUUUGUUUUGUUUUGUUUUUUUGGUUUUUUUUGAUAUUUAUUUUUUUGUUUUGUUUUUGUUUUUUACAUAUGCAAAAGAAGACUGUUUUAAAGUCACAGAAUCACAGAGAAUCACAGAAUUGUAGGGGUUGGAAGGGAACUUCUACAGACCAUCAGGUCCAACCCCCAGUGACAUGCAUCAAGACUUUAUAAGUAUUCAGGUGAUGCCAAACAGCAACCAAACUGGAAAAAAAGAAUUUCCAUGUCAAACCAAAUACUUGGCUCUGAUGCAGCACUUAGCAGCAGUGCCCACUGCCCAGCGGGCUGGGUGCUCAGCAAGCAGUAAGGCAUGGCUGCCGUUUCAUCAGGCUGCCAAAGAGACACGGAGCGCUGAGCCCCUGCUGCCUGGCCUCUGAAAUAAGUGCAGCACAGUUCUGAAACGAGCCAGGUGUUUAAUUGGGAUAGCUCAUUAGCUGUGAGCAUCAGCCUCUGGCACGUGGCCGGCCCAUUGCGUGGAGAUGAGCUGGGGCUCCUCUGGCCCACGAGGCUGACGGCAGCAUCAUCUGCGAGACCUGAAUUUGUGUCCCUCUCUGUUGACCUUCUGUGGGAUCUCGAGCAAACAUUCAUCCCUCGUGUUGAACAGACGGCAUCUGUAAAGCAUUCAGAGCCGCUCCUCAGAGCGCCCAUGGAGCAGUGAGCAGAGGCACAUCCCACCAUGGUCCCACAGCCAUUUCACAGCUCACCUUCAGCCUCUUUAGAAGAAAACAGUCAGUCCAAUUUUAGCUGAACUUUGUGUGUCCAGGUCAGUGUCAGCUGGCAGAGACGCACGCCCUGUGCAUGCCCUGGAGCAUGGGAUGUGCACUCCAGGUGCACUCUGCAUCGCCGCAGGGUGAAUUACUGUCCCCUGAAAUCACUUCCAAACAACCCAAACCUUCAGAAUGCACUUAUGGGUCUCCUUUAUCUGAAGUAGCUUUUCAGAAAGUGAUCUCUUAGUUCAGGUAAACAGAGAUGCACAGACCAAACACUGCUGGGUUUUGCCACUUCUCCGUAGCUUACAUUCCCUGGCGUGACCUCAGGGUUUGUUUGCUUCGCUCCCUCUGAGUAGAAGGGAUGCAAGGUUUCCCAUGGCCAGAUGUUGUUAUGUCUCUACUCCAACCCUCUCUAGAGACCAGGACAUCAUUUUAUCCUCCAAAGGGCAAAUUCAUUCUGGAGCAACCUCAGCUGCUCACUCUCUUCCAUGUUAGCUGAACAGAAGUGAGCUUUGUGCACACGGUAUGAGUCCUACUCAGUGUUUUGUUUCAACUGUGUUUCCUUGGUUUUAUCUCAUUAAUGCUGGGCCCUGUGAAGUGACCCCUCUACUAGACAUGCAUGCACUGCACUGUUUGCGUUGCAGAGCACUGAGGUAUGAAGACCAACCUCCUACUGCUUUUUUCCAGCAACUCAGAAGCUCUUCUAUACUACCACUCUACUUCAGAGGAAACAGCUGUUUUUGUUUGUCUUCAUUGCGUGCUUCUCUACGUGUUUCCAUUUCACAGAUGCUAAAUUAUAUGUGCUGGCAAUGAACAUUAAUGCUGCCCCCGAGGAAGGCUGAGGUUUGGCCACGUGCACAUUAAAGGUGCAGUGCCAGUGGCACUGGGAUGGCCACUCAGAGCUGCUGCUGAGGCUGAAGGACGCCUUGGUUCCCAUAACCACAGCCAGGGAAAGGCCCCACAGGGCCCCACUGUCUUCAGCUCACACUUCAUUUCCUUUGGGUCACUGCAGGAAUAGGCUUCCCCAGUCCAGGCUGUAAACAUCCCUGUAUAAAUACAGUUUGCAAAAGCUGUCUGAUGUGAACAUUCCCCAGUUUGUUACAGGAUGGUAUUAUAAAACACCAAAUACCAAGAACAAGAAAACAAGUACAGAUGGAGUCCCAUCUGAACGUCUACAGGUCCGCACGCUGGAAUUAGGCCUGGUAGGUUAAUUAUUUUAACAUUCAUGACAUGCAGCUUGUGAGGGAGAGCUGCAUAGAGGCAGACUAAGCUCCACAUUUAAUGUUCCUAGAAGGUCAAAUGACUGAAAGUGACAAACACAGCGUUCAAGCUCCUUUUUAACUGGAUGCAAUUAAUUAGACCAGAAGUGAAAACAGUUGCUUAAGUACUGAAGAAGCAGCACACCCUGCAAGUCAUUAUCAUAUGCCCAGAAUAAAUCCCUGUAGCAGUGUCAAUCUAAUAGUUGUCAACAGUGUAAGUGAAGCAUUAGUCACCGACUGCUCAGCAAAUUGUGUGUUUGGAACAGGAACAGCAACCAGCCAUCAUUUAUCCUGAAGGACAUCCCUUAUUUCCUCUGUUUUAGAGGGGUAAAGGAAAGCUAAGAAAGUAAAAUGCUAAAAGCCUUUACAGAAGCAGCACUACGAAAUGUGACUGUUCAUAUAAAACGAUUCUGUGCCUAAUUCAGCCUGAAGACCUUUCAAACAUGUAACAGAGACUAACCCAAAGUCUAAAGCAAAAUAUAAAUCCAUGUUUUCUCGAGCUGGAAUUGCACACCCAGAGAACCAACUAUGUGCUCUCUGUGGAUAUUUCUUCUUGCACUGACAACUCAAAUGAAGAAAUGGUGCAAAGGAAAGAACUUCCCAAAUGCACAUCUCUUACAGAGGGAAGAGCAAAGUAUGCCUUUCCCAGAGUGAAUGGAAGCAUUUAUUUUGUGUGCAUCAGUAAAGACAGCAAUUGUUGUUGGCAUGAGGCUUGCAGUACUUUGUACACAACUCUUGUAGCUGCCCCUGCUAGAUUAUGAGCUGCAAGGCAGCACGCAAACAGAGCAGACAUGGUAAUAUAAACCUUGGGAGCGGAGUUUCCAAGAAUAAUAUUCUUGAAACAGUUUUUGUAGUCAGUAAUCACAGCAGUUUUUGUUAGAGGAGCAAGGAAGUGAGCGUUAAACCUUUGCAGUCGUCUGCAUUCAGCAAGGUGUGCUGUCAGCAGGCUCAGCAGAGCUCAGAGCCACAGUGGCUAAAUUGGCAUCUCCUGGUGAGGCAAGAAUGCCACAAGCUGCCAACGUGAGUGCGGCCCUGCUUCAGUUAGGGCAGCAAUUCAGCUCAUUUAACCAGGCUAUGGUGAAAAUGGUGUCCCCUCAGUAGGUCUCAGAGGAGCAGAUCUUACUUUUCCUGGUGCUCUCAUCAGAUGGUGGGGCUGUGGCUUCAUAGGACAGUUCAGGAGUUAGGGAGUCCCCCAGGCAGGAUUCAGUGAAAUCGAGGUGCAGAGAAGCAGUG